AUUGAACGCUGGCGGCAUGCUUUACACAUGCAAGUCGAACGGUAACAGGCCUUCGGGUGCUGACGUGUGGCGCACGGGUGAGUAAUGCAUCGGAACGUGCGCAGGGGUGGGGGGUAAAGCAGCGAAAGAUGUGCUAUAAUCGCACGUGCGCUGUGGAGGAAAGCGGGGGACAUGGUAGGAACGUUUGCCCUCGGGCCAUUGGAGGGCGCGAUGUCAGAUUAGUUAGUUGGUGGGGUAAAGGCCUACCAAGCCGACGAUCCGUAACUGGUCUGAGAGGACGACCAGCCACACUGGGACUGAGACACGGUCCAGACUCCUACGGGAGGCAGCAGUGGGGAAUAUUGGACAAUGGGCGCAAGCCUGAUCCAGCAAUGCCGCGUGCGUGAAGAAGGCCUUCGGAUUGUAAACCGCUUUUGUACGGAACGAAAAGGCUCUGGCUAAUACCUGGGGCUGAUGACGGUACCAAAAGAAUAAGCACCGGCUAACUACGUG
rnacentral:rRNA from 1 species